rnacentral:rRNA from 1 species
CCGACGGUGAGGGGUGAAGGCUGGGGGCGCAAACCGGAUUAGAUACCCGGGUAGUCCCAGCAGUAAACGAUGCCAGCUAUGUGUUGCUGGAACCAUGGGUUCCAGCAGUGCCGAAGGGAAGCCGUGAAGCUGGCCACCUGGGAAGUACGGUCGCAAGGCUGAAACUUAAAGGAAUUGGCGGGGGAGUACCACAACCGGUGGAGCCUGCGGUUUAAUUGGAUACAACGCCGGGAAUCUUACCGGAGGGGACAGCAGUAUGAAGGCCAGGCUAAAGACCUUGCCAGAUCAGCUGAGAGGAGGUGCAUGGCCGUCGCCAGUUCGUACCGUGAGGCAUCCUGUUUAGUCAGGCAACGAUCGAGACCCGCAGUCUUAUUUGCCAGCAUGCCCUUUGGGGUGUAUGGGUACAAUAAGACGACCGCCAGCGCUAAGCUGGAGGAAGGAGCGGGCUACGGUAGGUCAGCAUGCCCCAAAUCCUCCGGGAUACACGCGGGCUACAAUGGUCAGGACAAAAGGUACCGACCUCGAAAGAGUGAGGUAAUCCACAAACCUGAUCUCAGUCCGGAUCGAAGGCUGCAACUCGCCUUCGUGAAGAUGGAAUC